UGGUUCUGGCACCGAUGAAGAACGCAGCGAAAUGCGAUAAGUAAUGUGAAUUGCAGAAUUCCGCGAAUCAUCGAAUCUUUGAACGCACAUUGCGCCCGCUAGUACUCUAGCGGGCAUGCCUGUUCGAGCGUCAUUUCGACCAUCAAGCCUUAAUUGCUUGCGUUGGAGCACUAUAGCGAAAGCUGUACGCUCUGAAAUUUAGCGGCGGACCUGUAGUGAUACCGAACGUAGUAAUUUUCAACUCGUUUAGGGCAUCCAGCAGUUGUUCCCGGCCGUAAAAACCCCCACCUUAUAAUGGUUGACCUCGGAUCAGGUAGGAAUACCCGCUGA
rnacentral:misc_RNA from 1 species